rnacentral:tRNA from 1 species
GUCGGGAUAGCUCAGCUGGUAGAGCAGAGGAACGGAGUGUCGCCAGUUCAAAUCUGGUUCCCGGCA